rnacentral:rRNA from 1 species
GUGAGGAAUAUUGCGCAAUGGAGGCAACUCUGACGCAGCCAUGCCGCGUGCAGGAAGAAGGCGCUACGCGUUGUAAACUGCUUUUAACCGGGAAGAAACCCCAGGACGUGUCCUGGGUUGACGGUACCGGAGGAAUAAGCACCGGCUAACUUCGUGCCAGCAGCCGCGGUAAUACGAAGGGUGCAAGCGUUAUCCGGAUGCAUUGGGUUUAAAGGGUGCGUAGGCGGAGCGUUAAGUCAGUGGUGAAAUCCUGCAGCUUAACUGUAGACUUGCCAUUGAUACUGGCGCUCUUGAGUGCGCUUGAAGUGGGCGGAAUGUGCCGUGUAGCGGUGAAAUGCUUAGAUAUGGCACAGAACACCAAUUGCGAAGGCAGCUCACUAAGGCGAUACUGACGCUGAGGCACGAAAGCGUGGGGAUCGAACAGGAUUAGAAACCCGUGUAGUCC